rnacentral:rRNA from 1 species
GGGAAUAUUGGGCAAUGGGCGCAAGCCUGACCCAGCAACGCCGCGUGAAGGAAGACGGCUUUCGGGUUGUAAACUUCUUUUCUCAGGGACGAAGAAAGUGACGGUACCUGAGGAAUAAGCCACGGCUAACUACGUGCCAGCAGCCGCGGUAAUACGUAGGGAGCGAGCGUUAUCCGGAAUUAUUGGGUGUAAAGCGUGUGUAGGCGGUUAAAUAAGUCUAAGGUUUAAGCCCGGAGCUCAACUCCGGAUCGCCUUAGAAACUGUAUAACUUGAGUAUGGUAGAGGUAAACGGAAUUUCUAGUGUAGCGGUAAAAUGCGUAGAUAUUAGAAGGAACACCAGUGGCGAAGGCGGUUUACUGGGCCACCACUGACGCUGAGACACGAAAGCGUGGGGAGCAAAUAGA